UGGUUUCAAAAGAUGAAAAAUCUCGAUUACUGAAGGAGGAAAGAAAGCCCUUCUGUUUCUAUGGAACGUUUAGGGGAAGCUGUGGAAGAGACGAGGAGGCAGAAACAUUCUACUGGAAAGUUACAGUUGGUUGGUGGAAUGUGUUCUUCUAA